rnacentral:tRNA from 1 species
GGGCCGUUAGCUCAGUUGGUCAGAGCACCGGACUCAUAAUCCGAGGGUCGCAGGUUCAAGUCCUGCACGGCCCA